AACGAACGCUGGCGGCAUGCCUAACACAUGCAAGUCGAACGAGACCUUCGGGUCUAUUGGCCCACGGGUGCGUAACGCGUGGGAACCUGCCCUUAGGUUCGGAAUAACUCUCCGAAAGGGGUGCUAAUACCGGAUAAUGUCUCCGGACCAAAGAUUUAUCGCCUUUGGAUGGGCCCGCGUUGGAUUAGCUUGUUGGUAGGGUAAAAGCCUACCAAGGCGACGAUCCAUAGCUGGUCUGAGAGGAUGAGCAGCCACACUGGGACUGGGACACGGCCCAGACUCCUACGGGAGGGAGCAGUGGGGAAUAUUGGACCAUGGGGGAAAGCCUGAUGCAGCUAUGCCGCGUGAGUGAUGAAGGCCUUAGGGUUGUAAAGCUCUUUUAACCGGGAUGAUAAUGACAGUACCGGGAGAAUAAGCUCCGGCUAACUCCGUG
rnacentral:rRNA from 1 species